GAUGAACGCUAGCUACAGGCUUAACACAUGCAAGUCGAGGGGAAACGAUAGAGAAAGCUUGCUUUUUCUAGGCGUCGACCGGCGCACGGGUGAGUAACGCGUAUCCAACCUGCCCAUCACUUGGGGAUAACCUUGCGAAAGUAAGACUAAUACCCAAUGACGUCUCUAGAAGACAUCUGAAAGAGAUUAAAGAUUUAUCGGUGAUGGAUGGGGAUGCGUCUGAUUAGCUUGUUGGCGGGGUAACGGCCCACCAAGGCGACGAUCAGUAGGGGUUCUGAGAGGAAGGUCCCCCACAUUGGAACUAAGACACGGUCCAAACUCCUACGGGAGGCAGCAGUGAGGAAUAUUGGUCAUUGGGCGAGAGCCUUAACCAGCCAAGUAGCGUGCAGGAUGACGGCCCUAUGGGUUGUAAACUGCUUUUAUAAGGGAAUAAAGUGAGUCUCGUGAGACUUUUUGCAUGUACCUUAUGAAUAAGGACCGGCUAAUUCCGUGCCAGCCGCCGCAGUAA
rnacentral:rRNA from 1 species